rnacentral:rRNA from 1 species
AGCGAACGCUGGCGGCAGGCCUAACACAUGCAAGUCGAACGAACCUUUCGGGGUUAGUGGCGGACGGGUGAGUAACACGUGGGAACGUGCCUUUAGGUUCGGAAUAACUCAGGGAAACUUGUGCUAAUACCGAAUGUGCCCUUCGGGGGAAAGAUUUAUCGCCUUUAGAGCGGCCCGCGUCUGAUUAGCUAGUUGGUUGAGGUAAUGGCUCACCAAGGCGACGAUCAGUAGCUGGUCUGAGAGGAUGAUCAGCCACAUUGGGACUGAGACACGGCCCAAACUCCUACGGGAGGCAGCAGUGGAGAAUCUUGCGCAAUGGGCGAAAGACUGACGCAGCCAUGCCGCGUGAAUGAUGAAGGUCUUAGGAUUGUAAAAUUCUUUCACCGGGGACGAUAAUGACGGUACCCGGAGAAGAAGCCCCGGCUAACUUCGUG